GAUCUUGGUUCAGGAUGAAACGCUAGCGACAGGCUUAACACAUGCAAGUCGAGGGGCAGCAUAAAAGUAGCAAUACUUGGUGGCGACCGGCGCACGGGUGAGUAACGCGUAUGCAACCUACCUAUCAGAGGGGAAUAACCCGGCGAAAGUCGGACUAAUACCGCAUAAAACAGGGGCACCGCAUGGUGAUAUUUGUUAAAGAAAUUCGCUGAUAGAUGGGCAUGCGUUCCAUUAGGUAGUUGGUGAGGUAACGGCUCACCAAGCCGACGAUGGAUAGGGGAACUGAGAGGUUGGUCCCCCACACUGGUACUGAGACACGGACCAGACUCCUACGGGAGGCAGCAGUGAGGAAUAUUGGUCAAUGGGCGGGAGCCUGAACCAGCCAAGUCCGCGUGAAGGAAGAAGGAUCUAUGGUUCGUAAACUUCUUUUGCGAGGGGAAUAAAGUGCGGGACGUGUCCUGUUUUGUAUGUACCCUGAGAAUAAGGAUCGGCUAACUCCGUGCCAGCCGCCGC
rnacentral:rRNA from 1 species